rnacentral:pre_miRNA from 14 species
CUAUAUGUCUAGAAGGCUUCUCUUAUGAUCCUGCAAUACUAUUGAAAGAUCCCACGCAGAGAGACCCUUACUCAAGUCUUGGGAAAUCGCGGACCCCAGACACAGAGAGACCA